GAUGAACGCUGGCGGCGUGCCUAAUACAUGCAAGUCGAGCGAACAGACGAGGAGCUUGCUCCUCUGACGUUAGCGGCGGACGGGUGAGUAACACGUGGAUAUCCUACCUAUAAGACUGGGAUAACUUCGGGAAACCGGAGCUAAUACCGGAUAAUAUAUUGAACCGCAUGGUUCAAUAGUGAAAGACGGUUUUGCUGUCACUUAUAGAUGGAUCCGCGCCGCAUUAGCUAGUUGGUAAGGUAACGGCUUACCAAGGCAACGAUGCGUAGCCGACCUGAGAGGGUGAUCGGCCACACGGGAACUGAGACACGGUCCAGACUCCAAGGGGAGGCAGCAGUAGGGAACCUUCCGAAAUGGGCGAAAGCUUGACGGAGCAACGCGGCGUGGGUGAUGAAGGUCUUCGGAUCGUAAAACUCUGUUAUUAGGGAAGAACAAAUGUGUAAGUAACUAUGCACGUCUUGACGGUACCAAAUCAGGAAGCACGGCUAACUACGUG
rnacentral:rRNA from 1 species